rnacentral:rRNA from 2 species
GCCCACCCGGCCAUAGUGGGAGGGCAACACCCGGACUCAUCUCGAACCCGGAAGUUAAGCCUCCCACGUUGGAAGGGCAGUGGGGUCCGAGAGGACCUGCAGCCCUUCCAAGCCGGGAUGGG